CUACGGAUCUAUCUAUAUCGCCAGACGCAAUGAUGUCAGCCAGGUUGGGGUCCGUUCAUGGUAAUAUCUGGGAUUGCGCCUGAUUCGCCCAUAGCUGCCCGACACUGGCUGUCCCCAGAGGGAAUGACAAUGAGCAGUGCGGCUGAGGUCGGCCGACACUGAUGCUGAGGGAUUAUUUAUAGCGGACAGUGACAUUUCUUUCUUCACCGCCCCAAAAGGACAGGAGGCUCUCUAUCAAAGAGGGGAACCUGCCCCGGAUCACGCAUGAGACAAACGGACCUGUUUCCACCGCCUGCCUACAUGAUGACAGAGACAUUUCAGACUAUAUGGCAGAGUGUGAAGGGCUUUAAAAACAUGGCAAAUGGACAAUCCAGGAAAAAAGUAAUGGGACAUUUAGCAGCAUCACAAUGAAGGAACUUGGACUGAGCAGAGGACAUCGAGGGACGCCUGAAGGAACGGAAGUGCACCACACAAACUGUUUUUUUUUGUUUUUGUUUACAGGACACUACCGUAUAUUAACUUUGAUUAACUUAACUUAAAUACAUUGUAACACAGUUCCACAGUAAUGUUCAGCAGUACACAUUUUAUACAUCUAAUAUCCUCCAUAGUUAUGUUACUUGAUUUGUCUAGAAUACUCAAUUAAUUUGACUUGUGUUGUGUCUUACAUGUAACAUUGUAUUGGUUUGGUAAUCCUGUUCAGUGAUGUGGUGACAUGUAUCAGUGUAUGGCCGCCAGGCGGGUGGGACCGCAGUUCGACUUUCCUCAUAAACAUGACAGCCUGUAUGAGGUUUUCACGAACUGUACACUGAGCCGCAUCUUACAAACAGAACAUAUAGAAGUGUUUUAUCAUUGUUUAUAAUCCACCUGUGUAUCUCAUGAUAAGGAUUAUGUUGUGAAUUAAUUUGAAGAUGUAUUAAAAUAUCUGACAUAUAGCAGUUUAAAUAUGCAUCAAACAUGUUUUGAUAAACACAGAAAUCUGACCAACAGUCACAGUCUCUUUACAGGAAACUUCUGCUUGAUUAAGGUCAGAGCAGCUCUGAUUUAGGAAAUCCCAAGUGUGCUCUGAUAUCAAAAGUGGAACAUAACAGGAAAUGACAGGACAUUAAACUUUAGUGACACAGAAAUAAUGAGGCACGAACCUGCAAAAUAAAAAGAGACACAGGGUGUUGUCUCGCACAGAGUUGUUCUACCAUUUGGAUUUGUCUGUCACCUUUGAAAUCUGUAUCUGUUUUUGAUACUUGCAAAAUAAAUCCCGCACAAAGACUGUAAUUCGAAUCUA